UUACGGUCAUGUCAAGUUGAAACACCAGUUCUCAUAAGAUCACCGAAAUUAAGCAACACCAGGCCUUGUUACUACCUCGAUGGAAGAGUGCUUGGGAAUAUUAGGCGCCGUAA